UCCUUCAUGCAACACCUGAAAAUCCUGGGGCGAAUCAAACAGCAAAUUAAAGCUCAAAAAACUCUCACCUGCAAAACAUGUAUAAGGAACUCAUUUUAAUGCUUUCAGGCUGAAAUCACUGGGACAAGAGCCCAAAAAGAAUGACAAAGGUAUCUUGCAACAACAUGGAACAAAAAGACGCUAUUUAGGAGGAGAAGUUUCCCCCCCACCACCCACUUUGGGAAAAGCUCAUAACAGUAACUGAAAACUUUCCUUGCCCUUUGAAGCCCCAUGAAGUCUUUGUAUGAUCAAUAUUUUAGAUAAUGACUAUCACAAGUUCUUAUGGGCAACUGAAGGAGC